UACGUAGGGGGCGAGCGUUGUCCGAAUUCACUGGGCGUAAAGCGCGCGUAGGCGGGCUAUUAAGUUGGGGGUGAAAUUCCGAGGCUUAACCUCGGAACUGCCUCCAAAACUGGUAGCCUUGAGGUAUGGAGAGGGAAGUGGAAUUCCAGGUGUAGCGGUGAAAUGCGUAGAUAUCUGGAGGAACACCCGUGGCGAAGGCGGCUUCCUGGCCAUAUCCUGACGCUGAGGUGCGAAAGCUAGGGGAGCGAACGGGAUUAGAUACCCCGGUAGUCCUAGCCGUAAACGAUGGAUACUAGGUGUUAGAGGUAUCGACCCCUCUAGUGCCGGAGCUAACGCAUUAAGUAUCCCGCCUGGGGAGUACGACCGCAAGGUUGAA
rnacentral:rRNA from 1 species